CAAGGAGCCCGGUUGCCCCGGCCGAGCUGUGCCAAAGGGAGCAAAGGGGUGAUGAAUCCCUCAAAAAAAUCUUCCUGGUAGCCAGGGCUAUUAAACUCCAGAAUAUUAAUCCAAGAGUGGUGCAGGAAGGACCCUGGGGCCUCCUAAAACCAGGAGGAACACAGUGUUGGAGGAUAUACGGCGGCACUAAUGCUGUCCUGGCCCCAGCGGCAUGCUGGGUACCUUUAAUAGGCUGCACGUCUCUAACUACUGUGAUUUCGAUAAAAGAUCUUCAUAAAACUUCCAAAUGCAUGUGCCAUCACCUGCUUUUCAAUCACUCCGAGCAUUGCAUCCCUUGCACAGCCUUCCCGGGGUGUGGGCUCGGGUCCACGCCGCCCCCCUGGCCAUCCUGGAUGCAUCCCACCUAUUCCCAUGCUGGCUCUGGGUGGUGAGAUGCUUUUGGGAGCAGCUCGGCGGCUCCAAUUGGGCUCCUUGCAACUCAGGGAGGCUGAGCUGAGGUCAGGGUGGCUCAGGAUGAGGAGGAAGAAUAAGGGAUAAAAAUGAUUUAAUGUGACUUUCUGGGUUUCCUGGUGUUUGGAGGGAGCUGGGGACUGGAGUGGCAUAAAGAAGGACUGAUUUAGGAGCUGCUCUGGCUCAUCUUGUGCUGCGAUGGCUCCCCCCGGAGCUACUUAAAUAGCCCGUGCGUGGUGAGCAUGGGGCUGCGCUUCCACCUUCCCGGGGCGGCGGUGGGGAUGUGACCCCCAGCCCAGCCCGAGGACAUGUCCCAGUCCACAGGGUCCACCUGAGGGGCCCGUUCAGGGAAAGGGGGCUCCUGCACCUCCCCUGCGGAAACGGGGCCUCGACGGCAGAAAUCAAACCAUCCAGGUGAGUCCUGAGCCAGCAUUCAGGGACAGGUUUCCUUUUAAACACUGGCAAAUACGUUCCCGGUGCUGUAAAAUUGGAUGGGAUUGGGGUGGGAGGAGGUAAUGGAAAGGCUGGGUGCUGCCUUCAGUGUAUCUAAAGAAAAUCCUUGUCCCUGCUGCUUUUUCCGCAGGGGGGUCCCAGGCCAGGAUGGUGGCAGGGUUGGCAGGGACGUCCCGGCCUCAGGGUGAGUUGGUGCCGGGGUUUUGGCUCCGGCUUUGCUCGGCUGCUCCGAAGCCGCAGCUCCAGCUGGUGGGUGCCAAAGUGAAUUUUGCAAGUUUAUUCUGCGUGGUUUUGCCAAUAGAGGAAUAUCUGGUGCCCAGAAUUGCUGCUCCUUCAUUGUCCUGUGGGGGUGACGCUCCUGGGGUGGAAUUACAGAGGGGUGACGGGGCUUUUCCAUCUUCCUUUGUGCAGCUCCCAGCACGAUGAUCCAGCCACCCCAGUUGCUGUAAAAAUACACUCUCAGAUUGUGCAAAUUAAAAAAAAAAAUUAAAAAAAAAAAAUCAAAUGUUACCCACCUGUCCUAUUUCUAGAGCUUUGGAAAACCUCUUUUUUUGACCACGUCCAGGGGAUCCGGCUCUCUGGGGGGGAUGUUCUUGCCGUGGCGGCGAGCGGGGGCUGAGUUUGGGGGCAGGAGGACGCAGCCCCUCGCCCGCUGCUCAUCCCGCCCGGGGGCAGCUGAGGUUUUUUCUUCAGGUGUGAUUUAUCUGCCAGAUGAAGGGGUGAAGCCUCGGCGGCGCUGCCAGGCCCCUUCUCCUGCGCUGCUCAGCCCGGAUCCGCGUUUUUCCUGGGAUUCUGUUGCCCUCUAGCGGGACCCCGCGCCGGGAAGGCGUUAUCGACCUCAGCAGAAUGAAGGCUAGGAGGAGACCAGAAAGACAAAAAAAAAGCCUGGAAAGGGGAAUAUAUUUUUAAGCAGAAAGGUCGCGGUGACCUGAGGUGCAGUAAUAAAUGUAUGUGAAAGAGAUGUUCGUGCUCUGGGGCCCCAGCACUGUCCUGGGACAAGUUCUCCCAAACCCCUCAUCCAAAUCCAGCUGCCAGAUGGGAGGUUUGGAGCUGAUGGCACCAUCCCUGGAUAUCCUCAGCCCUUCUCCAGAUCCAGCUGGACCCUCCCAGCCAGCAGCACUGGGAGCACCUUGCAGGAGCAGCAAACUGGGGGGAGGAAGGUAAGGCAGAGCCCAGAGCCUGGCCAGGGGGUGACAAGGGGGUGGCCCCUCUCUCGGGGGGGGCUGCGGGUGCCAGGGUCUCGUGCCGGGCUCAGAUGGGCAUCGUCAGGGCCCCGUCACUUUGUCCCCCUCCUCACUUGUCUUCCCACAACCUCAUUCCACUAAUCCUGCUUAACCGCCCCCAGCCCAGGCGGUGGGUACUUUAGAUUUGCACCAAGUUUUAGCCCAAAAAUGGCAUUUUGAUGCCUCUGGCCUCGGGUCACUGGAAUGGGCGAGGGGCAGCAAGGAUGCCUGUGCCCGGCGUGGUCCAGGCGUGCGGGGGGGGAUGCUGCUUCCCUCCAGCUAUUUUGGAAAACCCCGGCUUGGGCUUGGGCUCGGGCUGGUGGUGCUGGUGGUGCUGGUGGUGCUGGUGGUGCUGGUGGUAGUUAUCCACCCCCAGAGCUCCAACUGUUCUACGCCUCUGGAUUUUCGACCUUGCAGUUGUGUGCGCGUUGCCUUGGGUAUUUUCCAGGGUUGAGACGAAGCAUCUCUCCAGAAAGCCCUGAUUAUCCCAGGCUGAAAAGCAGGUCUGAAGCAAUUAAGAGAUGGAACAAAACCCUUCCAGCUACGGAGCUGCGUAAGGAAAACGGGCGAGGCGGGGGGAGAAUUUGUGUGGGAUGGAUUUGAGCUUAAAGACAGGCUGGCCCUGCAGGGCGGGAGACUUUCCUCCCCGCUCAGGAGCUGAGCAAAAUCCCCCCUGGCCUCACAUCGGUUAUUUCUUUUCACUCUUCAAGCUUGAUGAAUAUUAGCGAGAAUUGGGUUUUGUCACGAGGCUGCCGUGGCGGUGACCCACAGGGACACGAAGCGACGCGGAGAGCUGCGAAGAUGCGGCGGCACCAGGAUUUUGCUGGGUUUCGGAGGCCGGGCUGCACAAAUGGGUCCUUCCCCAGCAAGUGCCCACCGAGGGAGGGGGACAGGGACGUGCCCGGGGGUGGGGAGGGAGGCCACGCGCGAGGGUCAGCGCCGGUGCACGGGAGUUGGCCCCUGUUUGCUGCCUUCCCACGGUUCGCCUGGCGCCCGGCCCGGCCUCCCUAGUUGGAAAACCAGAAAUCUGUAUUUCUAAGGACUUCAUCUGGCAGUUCUGCAAAGGGGAGCGCAGCCCCCGGUCCUGGCUGACGGUCGCCAGAGUUUUGCUCCGCUCCCUUUGUUUGGAAGAGUCUCAUUUCGUGUCUAAUGAAAAUUUUAUUCCGAAUUUUUUUGUUUUGUUUCUAAAACAAAGAGACAUUUCCAACACCCAGCAGCUGGGGAUAAAAAAAGAAUCAAAUAUUUAUUUUAAAACGAGUAAUAAACUAACCUGGGAGCUUGUAUGUGGGGAGGAUUUAUAUUCUCUCUGUUUUUCAGAUGGGGAAAAUGAGUCACCGAGUAAUGGCCAAGGGGAGCUGAUGAACUGGGAUGAAUUGCAUGGGGUUUUUCACCUUUUGAGGAAUUAAAACCUCUUUGCCGUCCCUCCAGCCCGGGUCUCAGCCUGGUUUUGCACCCAAGGGGUGCGGUGUUCCCAGGACAGGGUUUACACGCUCACCCCGGGAGCAAGGGACCCUGGAAGCCUCCUCUGAAGCAGCAAUGGCCUGGCUGAAGCUCAUCCUCAGUUUGCCUGGGAAUUAAGAUCUCCUUCAUCAGCCCCAUCCUCCCUUGGAAACAGGAUAAAGUCAAUUCUUCCAGACCCUUUGGAGGCUUUUUGCCUGCUCUCGGUGAUUUUGUCUUCAGCCGCGUUUGGAAGGAAACCAACCCGACCACUUUCUCCCAGUCUCUGUAAAUCAUUCCCCCACCCCUUCCACUUUCAUACUCAAGUUAAGGAAAUAAUUAAAAGACCAGGAAAAUGAGCUGUUGGCAAGUUUCCUAUGAAAUUGCUCAGCGCUGGGGUGCUGUGCAGAGUUUGAAGCCCUUCACAGGAGCAGGGUAGACUUUCAGGGAGCUGCUGUGAUGCCUCCGUCAGAGGGAUUUGGCCACUUCUGUGGCUCUCCGUUCCCUUCCCAGUGCUCCGAGAUGGCAGUUUGCUGUCUCUUUGCCAGAACAAAAGCACUGCUCAACACCCAGGUGGCUUCUUUUCAGCUUCAGAUGAAGCCAGCCUUCGCACAGGAGCCUGCCAUGUCGGUGGAGUUGCCAGCCAGCGGCAGUUUCCAUCUCAGAGGGAUGCUUUGAGGGAAACCAGAGUGUUUUUCCCCAUUUACCCCAUGGCUCGCCUGGCUGGGGGGUUACUUUGGGGUUCCCCAGGGGGCUCCAUUGUACCCUCACCCUUGUCUUGCUGGGCUGGAGAUGGGUUUUCUCAGCUUAUUUGGGCAACAUCUCACACCCCCGGGGCCAGACCCUCUGCGCUGGGACUUGCUGAGAUGGUCCAUCAGCAGCAAUAGGAACUGCGUGCGGCCGGGGGGGACACCACUGCCUUGCCCUGGCGGCUGUAGCCCCUCUCACGUUGUCUCCCUUGCUAAACCCCCAAACACAUCCACCUGGGGCUGGUUAACCUCUCCCUGCUCCCUCCAGGAAGGCCACAUCCAUUAAGUAAAGCCCCAUCAGCACCUCGCUUGGUUUGCGCCCAGCUGCGGCAAAGCAGAAGCAUCUGGGGGAAAUUUGGGGAAGAAGAAGAAGAGGAGGAGGAGGAAGAAGAAGGGCAGGGCUUUCCCUUCCCUCUGCUUUUCCUUUCCUGCUGUCCCUGCUGGCGGUGGCAGUGCUGUCCCUCCUUCCCAGUACCGUGUGGGAGCCUGAAAAAAAUGAAAGGGAACGCUCUUUAUGUGCGUGCAGUCCUGGUCCUCAUUACGUUUCCUGCUAGAGAGCGACCCGGGCCAGCCAAAAAUAAAACCGGCUACAUUUGAG